rnacentral:lncRNA from 1 species
GAGGAUUUACUAGAGUUAGAUUCAGCAUACCGGCCUACUAGAUUUAGCUGAAUCAUUCUAUCAACAUGUACACUAAUAAGGUAUGUGCUACGGGUUGUACUCUCGUUACAUUGCUUUAUCUUACUUUAAUUGUUGACUUCAUCUCAUGUUUGCCCGUUCCAUAGGAUUGUCAUGAAUCUGUUUUCCUUCAGUUUACAGGAGGGUGAUGUUAACGAUUUCAAGAACUUGAUAGCAGGGUAAGGGUAUAGCUAUUGGCCAUGCAGUAGCGCGAGGCUUGACAAACAUACUUGUUCUCUUGAUUGAACAUGACCAGGACCUAAAAUGAUUUUGAUUUGUGCUCUUGUAGGUUAAAUCAAUCUCUGUCAAUACGAAAUUGUCAUAGCUGAACAUGAUCAGGACCUCAAGAGGACAGGGUUAUUUAGAGUUUCAGAACUUGUACUUGGUAAAAGAAUCGAUAUGGUUGACUAGAGGGGGGGUGAAUAGGCAACUAACAAUUUUUAGCUUUUCUUUAACAAUUUAAACUUUGCAUCAAAGUAGGUUGUCUAGAUAUGCAACUAGGUGAGCAACCUAUAUGAUGCAACGAGUAUAGGAACACAAGCAAGCAAGUGAUAUGAUACAAAUAAGCUUGCACAAAUAAAGGC